rnacentral:rRNA from 1 species
UACGUAGGGUGCAAGCGUUGUCCGGAAUUAUUGGGCGUAAAGAGCUCGUAGGCGGUUUGUUGCGUCGGCUGUGAAAUCCCGAGGCUCAACCUCGGGUCUGCAGUCGAUACGAGCAAACUAGAGUGUUGCAGGGGAGACUGGAAUUCCUGGUGUAGCGGUGAAAUGCGCAGAUAUCAGGAGGAACACCGGUGGCGAAGGCGGGUCUCUGGGCAUUAACUGACGCUGAGGAGCGAAAGCGUGGGGAGCGAACAGG